rnacentral:sRNA from 1 species
AUGAAUUGAACGCAUCCUAAGUUCGCCGCGUCCUGCGGCAACGGAUGCAUGACCCACUUCGUGUGAG